rnacentral:rRNA from 1 species
UACGGAGGGGGCUAGCGUUGUUCGGAAUUACUGGGCGUAAAGCGCACGUAGGCGGCUUUGCAAGUUAGAGGUGAAAGCCCGGGGCUCAACUCCGGAAUUGCCUUUGAGACUGCAUCGCUAGAAUUGUGGAGAGGUAAGUGGAAUUCCGAGUGUAGAGGUGAAAUUCGUAGAUAUUCGGAAGAACACCAGUGGCGAAGGCGACUUACUGGACACAUAUUGACGCUGAGGUGCGAAAGCGUGGGGAGCAAACAGG